AUCGACGGGGAGGUUUGGCACCUCGAUGUCGGCUCAUCGCAUCCUGGGGCUGUAGUCGGUCCCAAGGGUUGGGCUGUUCGCCCAUUAAAGCGGUACGCGAGCUGGGUUCAGAACGUCGUGAGACAGGUCGGUCCCUAUCCGUCGCGGGCGCAGGAAAUUUGAGAGGAGCUGUCCUUAGUACGAGAGGACCGGGAUGGACGCACCGCUGGUGUACCAGUUGUUCUGCCAAGGGCAUCGCUGGGUAGCUAUGUGCGGACGGGAUAAGUGCUGAAAGCAUCUAAGCAUGAAGCCCCCCUCAAGAUGAGAUUUCCCAUUCCGCAAGGAA
rnacentral:rRNA from 1 species